CUCUUGUCAAGCCGCUCCUGAACAACAAACAACGUCAGAAGCGUCUUACUUGGGCUAAAGAAAAACAGACCUGGUCUGUUGCUCAGUGGUCCAAAGUCCUCUUUUCUGAUGAGAGCAACUUACAGUGGGAGUUGACAGAGGAGCUGCACGGAGGAUCUUGUACAACCUGCCAACAGAGCCAUGGCCUAUCCACAGGAUAGGGG